CUUCCAGUAGCACCUUAGAGACCAACUAAGUUUGUUAUUGGUAUGAGCUUUUGUGUGCCGGUAUCUGAAGAAGUGUGCAUGCACACGAAAGUUCAUACCAAUAACAAACUUAGUUGGUCUCUAAGGUGCUACUGGAAG